rnacentral:rRNA from 1 species
GACGAACGCUGGCGGCGUGCCUAAUACAUGCAAGUCGAACGCAGUGGGGACGGGUGAUUAACACGUGGGUAACCUCCCAUCAGAGGGGAUAACACUUGGAAACAGGUGCUAAACCGAUACUGAUGGAUGGACCCGCGGUGCAUUAGCUAGUUGGUGGGGUAACGGCUCACCAAGGCCACGAUGCAUAGCCGGCCUGAGAGGGGGAUCAGCCACACUGGGACUGAGACACGGCCCAGACUCCUACGGGAGGCAGCAGUGGGGAAUAUUGGGCAAUGGACGAAAGUCUGACCGAGCCAUGCCGCGUGUGUGAAGAAGGUCUUCGGAUCGUAAAGCUCUGUUGGUAGGGAGGCGGUAUCUAAAGAGGAAGCAACGGCUAACUACGUGCCAGCAGCCGCGGUAAUUC